GCUUGGGUGGCUCAGUUGGUUGAGCAUCUGACUUCAGCUCAGGUCAUGAUCUCAUGGUUUGUGAGUUUGAGCCCCACGUCAGGCU
rnacentral:tRNA from 1 species